CUUCAAAGACUCCGGCUCCUCAGCUGCCUCCUGUUCCUGCCUCCUGCUCCUUAGCUGCCUCCUGUUCCUGCCUCCUGCUCCCCAGAUGUCUUCUACAGAGGAGUUCUGCAACCUGCUUCUCUUGGAUGUCCUUACUGAUCUUGACCUAGACCUUGGGCUCCAUUGUCACAUACACCUGCCCACAGUCUCCUCGAACAGCUCAGUGAUUCUGGAACACAACCCUGAAUCCCCUGACGUAGAAAGAAGCAAAGCUCCCCGUCAUCUCUGUGGGCUCCCUCACCACUGCCGUCACCUCCUUAAGGAGUGGAGUCCCACAUACUGAUGGCUCUGGAGUCAUCUGUCUGUCCUGGCUCUGGUGGGAGCCUUAAUAAGGAUUACUGCAGAGCCAGUCACCUAAAUCAAUUAAUGGAGCCAUUUGGAGCAGCCAACAUGGGGCGAUCUGCCAGGAUGAAGAGGUUUUUUUUUUUAUCAGAAAAAAUUGGCAAGAAAGGAAGUUCCAGGCUCACGACUCUCCCAUUUCAGCUUCCUCAAAGGAGUGAAUUGAUUUUCCCCAACCGAAGACACUUAAUCUUGAGAAUUUAACAUUUCUGUACAAGAGAAUGUAUAUGGGGCUAUAUAUGCAUAUAUAAACACGUAUCUAUCAGCUUUGAACGUAA